CGCUGGCGGCGUGCCUAAUACAUGCAAGUCGUGCGGACCUUUUAAAAGCUUGCUUUUAAAAGGUUAGCGGCGGACGGGUGAGUAACACGUGGGCAACCUGCCUGUAAGAUCGGGAUAACGCCGGGAAACCGGGGCUAAUACCGGAUAGUUUUUUCCUCCGCAUGGAGGAAAAAGGAAAGACGGCUUCGGCUGUCACUUACAGAUGGGCCCGCGGCGCAUUAGCUAGUUGGUGGGGUAACGGCUCACCAAGGCAACGAUGCGUAGCCGACCUGAGAGGGUGAUCGGCCACAUUGGGACUGAGACACGGCCCAAACUCCUACGGGAGGCAGCAGUAGGGAAUCUUCCGCAAUGGACGAAAGUCUGACGGAGCAACGCCGCGUGAGUGAAGAAGGCCUUCGGGUCGUAAAACUCUGUUGCCGGGGAAGAACAAGUGCCGUUCGAACAGGGCGGCGCCUUGACGGUACCCGGCCAGAAAGCCACGGCUAACUACGUGCCAGCAGCCGCGGUAAUACGUAGGUGGCAAGCGUUGUCCGGAAUUAUUGGGCGUAAAGCGCGCGCAGGCGGCUUCUUAAGUCUGAUGUGAAAUCUUGCGGCUCAACCGCAAGCGGUCAUUGGAAACUGGGAGGCUUGAGUGCAGAAGAGGAGAGUGGAAUUCCACGUGUAGCGGUGAAAUGCGUAGAGAUGUGGAGGAACACCAGUGGCGAAGGCGGCUCUCUGGUCUGUAACUGACGCUGAGGCGCGAAAGCGUGGGGAGCAAACAGGAUUAGAUACCCUGGUAGUCCACGCCGUAAACGAUGAGUGCUAAGUGUUAGAGGGUUUCCGCCCUUUAGUGCUGCAGCUAACGCAUUAAGCACUCCGCCUGGGGAGUACGGCCGCAAGGCUGAAACUCAAAGGAAUUGACGGGGGCCCGCACAAGCGGUGGAGCAUGUGGUUUAAUUCGAAGCAACGCGAAGAACCUUACCAGGUCUUGACAUCCUCUGACCUCCCUGGAGACAGGGCCUUCCCCUUCGGGGGACAGAGUGACAGGUGGUGCAUGGUUGUCGUCAGCUCGUGUCGUGAGAUGUUGGGUUAAGUCCCGCAACGAGCGCAACCCUUGACCUUAGUUGCCAGCAUUCAGUUGGGCACUCUAAGGUGACUGCCGGUGACAAACCGGAGGAAGGUGGGGAUGACGUCAAAUCAUCAUGCCCCUUAUGACCUGGGCU
rnacentral:rRNA from 2 species